rnacentral:tRNA from 1 species
GGCCGGGCUGGAAGCUGCCCGUCCGCCAGGGAGCAGCGUCAGCAGAGGAUUGAAAAUCCUUGUGUCGGUGGUUCGAUUCCGCCCCGGCCACCA